CUUUCUUCCUUUUGGUGCGAGCUUGCUGUGGUUUUUGCUCUGGGUCCUCUGGGAUGGCGCCUGGCUGUGGCCGCGUGGUCUCUCACGCAGGGGCGCCGGGCGGGGGAACGCGGCCACCCUGAGUCUGGUGAGUCGACUGCGGCGGCCUGUGUCCGAAGUGUCCGGGGCCGUGAACAAGGGCAGCGGCCUGGCCUCAGGCCUGCGUUCCCACGUUUGGAAACGGGGAGCUUCGUCGAUUUGUGUUUACAUCAUCGACUAUGCCAGGGAGUUCUCCAGAUAAGCCUGGUUUUAUUUUCGUCAGUGAAAAGGCCUUACCGUAUAACUGACUUUAUGCUUGCCCUGCCCCCGUAUAAAAUAACUUAAAAGCAGCGUGCCUGGUUACAGCUGUUUCCACGUGCGGUGCUCGUCGGGAGUGAUCACCUACCCUACAGGUGAGUUUUCACGUUCGUGCAAGACCAGUCGCCAUUUAAAACGCAUCGCAUUUCACUUUUCAUUAUUAAGUCGGAUUUUAAAUCGUGAGAAAAUUUCUCUGAAAUGUAUUGUCCGUUUUUAGGCUGUAAUCGGCAUUACUGUCAGCCAGUCAGCAACCUUAUGCCAUAAAGCCUACCUCACGCAGUGUCAGCCUUUGUGUUGCCCAUUCACUUUGGAAACUAGUGAAUGUGGUGUCAAAAAAGGCGUAAAUUAAACGCUUUGCAGCCUUUUCCUGCCCUUAAAUUUGAUACCUUUGGUGUAGGAGCUGCAUAAGUAACAGUUGCUGCUUUUACGUUUCCACGCGUGAUCUUGACCCUGCUAGCCUUAAGUGUAUGGUUUCUCUUAGCCAGUUCUAAUUUUUGUUCAGGUGGAAGAUGGAUGCCUGAAGUGUAGACUGCUGCUAGCUGAAUACCAUCUGGGAGCAUAAAGGUGACCUGAAGGAUGUCCUUGGUGAGGAUUUUGAAAAUUUGAUCUUCACAAGAGUUGCCUGGAUCAUUUGAAAUUUCUGGGAGUCUGAGGAGUACUGACAUAAUUACCUGCUGGAGUCUGUAAAUACACAUUUAAGACAGUGAGGAUGUGAAUAAAUAUAUUAAUGCACUUUGGCA
rnacentral:lncRNA from 1 species